UUUCCGUAGGUGAACCUGCGGAAGGAUCAUUAUUAUAUAACCGAGGUUCUAGGGCAGUCGCUGACCCGCAAUGUCGAUCAAUCCCGAGUGCCCUCACACGCAUCCAUCUCUCCAUAAUCUGCGCCACUGCGAGGGUCCCCCUUCGGCUUGUACGGUCGCGGGCAUACGUUUCCACACAAACUUUGUAUGCAGCGUCGAAUGUAAUUUUUGUUUUUGCGAUCACGACACCUAUACAACUUUCAACAACGGAACCCCUGGCUCUCGCAUCUACGAAGAACA
rnacentral:misc_RNA from 1 species